GCUGGGCAUGGUGGCCCAUGCCUGUAAUCCCAGCUACUCGGGAGGCUGAGGUAGGAGAAUCGCUUGAACCCAGGAGGUAGAGGUUGCAGUGAGCCGAAAUCAUGCCACUGCACUCCAGCCUGGGUGACGGAGCAAGACUCUGUCUCAA
rnacentral:SRP_RNA from 1 species